rnacentral:rRNA from 1 species
UACGUAGGGUGCAAGCGUUUGUCCGGAAUUAUUGGGCGUAAAGAGCUCGUAGGCGGUUUGUCGCGUCUGCUGUGAAAACUCGGGGCUUAACUCCGGGCCUGCAGUGGGUACGGGCAGACUAGAGUGCGGUAGGGGAGACUGGAAUUCCUGGUGUAGCGGUGAAAUGCGCAGAUAUCAGGAGGAACACCGAUGGCGAAGGCAGGUCUCUGGGCCGCAACUGACGCUGAGGAGCGAAAGCAUGGGGAGCGAACAGG